UACGGAGGAUGCAAGCGUUAUCCGGAAUGAUUGGGCGUAAAGCGUCCGCAGGUGGCAGUACAAGUCUGCUGUCAAAGGUCAAGGCUUAACUUUGGACAGGCAGUGGAAACUGUACAGCUAGAGUGUGGUGGGGGCAGAGGGAAUUCCCAGUGUAGCGGUGAAAUGCGUAGAGAUUGGGAAGAACACCAGUGGCGAAAGCGCUCUGCUAGGCCAUAACUGACACUCAGGGACGAAAGCUAGGGGAGCGAAUGGG
rnacentral:misc_RNA from 1 species